GCUGCGAUGGCCGAGUGGUUAAGGCGUUGGACUUGAAAUCCAAAGGGGAUUUGCCACGCAGGUUCGAAUCCUGUUUGCAGCG